UCAAGAUCAAGAUAUAGUUCAAGUUCAAGAACGAUCAAGAUCAAGACCGCCGGAUUCAAGAUCAAGCUCGAAGCCCUUGGAUUCAACUAGAAGUCAAGAUCAAGAUAAAUUCAAGUUCAAGAACGAUCAAGAUCAAGACCGCCGGAUUCAAGAUCAAGCUCAAAUCCCUUGGAUUCUACUAGAAGUCAAGAUCAAGAUAAAUUCAAGUUCAAGAACGAUCAAGAUCAAGA